rnacentral:rRNA from 1 species
AGUGCGUAACACGGUUUCCGUAGGUGAACCUGCGGAGGAUCAUUA